CUUUGUUGCCCUCAAAACUGGGCUCUGUCUUCCUUCGCAAACAAUCCCAUUGAGAUCUGGGGUUCAAGCUGCCAUCAGAAGAAUUCUCUGCCUCUGGAUACUUCUCCCUGGCCAGAGACAGGUGAUUGUGCCAUGAAAUCACUGGGUGCCAGAAGGCCUGCAGACCAUGUUGGAGGAGCCUCUCACUUGCCUGCUGCAUCACUGAGUAUUUCCUGAGUGUCAAGAAAGACGAUGCUGGGAAUAGUCCCUCCUUGCCCAGAUCUCUUAAAAGCCAGAGAGCUCAUAGCAUCCUGUCUCCUCCAGAAGCUCUUCCCCAGCUGAAAUGUAAAUGAAGGGCUAUUAGUCUGCUCCUCAACCACCCACCUCCAUGGUCCCUGACAGUGUGAAUGAGCUCCUCACAGCCAGGAUUUUUUUCUCCAGUGAAAAGUAGCAAUUUCUCCUACACUGAAAAUUUCCUGAAUAAAAAAAUUCAU